rnacentral:rRNA from 1 species
UACGAAGGGGGCUAGCGUUGCUCGGAAUCACUGGGCGUAAAGGGCGCGUAGGCGGCCAUUCAAGUCGGGGGUGAAAGCCUGUGGCUCAACCACAGAAUUGCCUUCGAUACUGUUUGGCUUGAGUUUGGUAGAGGUUGGUGGAACUGCGAGUGUAGAGGUGAAAUUCGUAGAUAUUCGCAAGAACACCAGUGGCGAAGGCGGCCAACUGGACCAACACUGACGCUGAGGCGCGAAAGCGUGGGGAGCGAACAGG